GUGGUAUUUUUGGUAUGAGGCAUAGUGAUAUUGCCUUCUCUCUCACCCUACUCUAAUAAGGUUUUGAUAUCUAGAGCUCAUAGGUGGGAGAUAAAGCAUACAUACUUACAAGACAUUUAUUGCAUAGUCAAACCAUGGAUUCAGAGAAACAAGUCAAUAAGUCAAAUCAAGAUGUGCAUGUGUGGCGAAUGAAUGGUGUAUGGUGAUAACAAUGGUGAAAGUCUAAUUCUACUUUUGCUCUUUUAAGGGGAUACAUACCUUUCUUGCACUUUGAAGCUCUUUGAGGAGAAUGAGAUGCUCUAUAUUUUCUUUUUUUCUUUUCUCUCAGGUGGGUAUCUUGUACCCCGAAUUCUACUGUCGGACACUUGUCCAUCUUUACCUCUUGUCUCACUUUUUCUUUUCUUGGAGGUUCCGGGCACUUGCCCCUUUUUAUUUCCUCGUGUUCAUCAUUUUUAGAGCACUCACCCUCCUAGAAUAAUGUAGUAAGUGGUAGUAACAAAAAUAACUGGAGCAUUUAUUUCACAGGGAAUAACAGGGAUAGGAAAAUAUUUUUGGCUAUUCUCUUCUGGAUAGGAGUAGAAUAAGUUUAGGUGAAUUUGGAGAUGGAAGUGAGUGGAUGUAUGUGGAUGCGUACUUCCGGAGUAGAAGUAGCAUGUUUGAGUGAACGUGCA
rnacentral:lncRNA from 1 species